rnacentral:rRNA from 1 species
CCGGAUUGGAGUCUGCAACUCGACUCCAUGAAGUCGGAAUCGCUAGUAAUCGUGGAUCAGAAUGCCACGGUGAAUACGUUCCCGGGCCUUGUACACACCGCCCGUCACCAUGGGAGUGGGCUGCAAAAGAAGUAGGUAGUUUAACCUUCGGGGGGACGCUUACCACUUUGUGGUUCAUGACUGGGGUGAAGUCGUAACAAGGUAGCGCUAGGGGAACCUGGCGCUGGAUCACCUCCUUAAACGAUGAU